rnacentral:rRNA from 1 species
CUUGCUUCUCUUGAGAGCGGCGGACGGGUGAGUAAUGCCUAGGAAUCUGCCUGGUAGUGGGGGAUAACGUCCGGAAACGGACGCUAAUACCGCAUACGUCCUACGGGAGAAAGCAGGGGACCUUCGGGCCUUGCGCUAUCAGAUGAGCCUAGGUCGGAUUAGCUAGUUGGUGGGGUAAUGGCUCACCAAGGCGACGAUCCGUAACUGGUCUGAGAGGAUGAUCAGUCACACUGGAACUGAGACACGGUCCAGACUCCUACGGGAGGCAGCAGUGGGGAAUAUUGGACAAUGGGCGAAAGCCUGAUCCAGCCAUGCCGCGUGUGUGAAGAAGGUCUUCGGAUUGUAAAGCACUUUAAGUUGGGAGGAAGGGCAGUAAAUUAAUACUUUGCUGUUUUGACGUUACCGACAGAAUAAGCACCGGCUAACUCUGUGCCAGCAGCCGCGGUAAUACAGAGGGUGCAAGCGUUAAUCGGAAUUACUGGGCGUAAAGCGCGCGUAGGUGGUUCGUUAAGUUGGAUGUGAAAUCCCCGGGCUCAACCUGGGAACUGCAUUCAAAACUGACGAGCUAGAGUAUGGUAGAGGGUGGUGGAAUUUCCUGUGUAGCGGUGAA